AUGUACACUCUUUGUUUUUUAGCCGAUGUACACUCUUUGUUGGAAGACCGAGGGAGUACACGUGCAUGCACUCACAUACACAGCCAGGGUGGUUCGCGCGCAAGGGUUGGACUCCUGUCGCGCCUGUGUACGAGAUUGCCAGACAUUGUGAUCGUCCUUGAUCAGCAAAAAGAGUAUAUAGCUCUUCGGGAAUGUGCCAUUUUGGGGAUUCCUACUAUUUCUUUAGUCGAUACAAAUUGUGACCCGGAUCUCGCGAAUAUAAGUUUUGUUUAA
rnacentral:rRNA from 1 species